rnacentral:rRNA from 1 species
AUGUUUAAUGCAGUACAUUCAGUACUUCAAAAUAUAGCAUCUGAUGGGUCAGCUGGCUCAAUUCGUGCAGAUGAAGACACUACUUUCAAUUACUUAUCUUAUUUUGAGUUCAUAUUUGUCUUAUGUCUGAUGGAAGAAACAUUGGAGAUAACUGAAAAUCUUGGUCAAGCUUUGCAAAAGAAAUCACAGGACAUAGUAAAUGCCAUGCGUCUAGUGUUCACAACAAAUGUUCGUCUUGAUGAAAUGAGAUCAGAUGAUGGUUGGGAGGCCUUUUUUGAUAGGUUGUUGAGUUAUGUGUAA